rnacentral:tRNA from 1 species
GGAGCAAUACUCAAGUGGCCGAAGAGGCGCCCCUGCUAAGGGUGUAGGUCGGGGAACCGGCGCGAGAGUUCGAAUCUCUCUUGCUCCGCCA